rnacentral:rRNA from 1 species
UACGUAGGGAGCAAGCGUUGUCCGGAAUCAUUGGGCGUAAAGCGCGCGUAGGUGGCUCUAUAAGUCCGUUGUGAAAGUCAAAGGCUCAACCUUUGAAAGCCGAUGGAUACUGUAGAGCUAGAGUCCGGAAGAGGCGAGUGGAAUUCCUGGUGUAGCGGUGGAAUGCGCAGAUAUCAGGAGGAACACCAAUAGCGAAGGCAGCUCGCUGGGACGUUACUGACGCUGAGACGCGAAAGCGUGAGGAGCAAACAGG